UUUAUACUGUUAGAUGGAUAGCUUGGUUUUGGUUUUGACGAAAGGCGUGGCAAGCUGCGAUAAGCUUGGGGGAGCUGCAUGCAAGCUUUGAUCCCAAGAUUCCUGAAUUAUCCAGAGAUGGAGAAAUACGCCGGGAAUUGAAACAUCUUAGUACCGGCAGGAAAAGAAAACAAAAAGUGAUACCCUUAAUAGCAGCGAGCGAAAAGGGCACAGGGCAAGCUGAAUCCUUUCUUGGUAACAAGAUUGGAGAUGUGGUGAAAUGUACUCCGUACCUUAUGAGUCAAACUUUGCUGGAACGCAAGGCUCUAGAGGGUGAUAGCCCCGUAGAUUAAAUAAGGCGGAUGAUUUUCUAAAAGAGUAGGGCUUCCUGGAUUGGAGGUCUGAAUACGGCAGGAUUAACUGCCAACCCUAAAUAAAACCAAAGUCCGAUAGUGAACAAGUACCGUGAGGGAAAGCUGAAAAGUACUCUUAACAGAGUGUGAAAAGAUUUGAAAUCUAACAGUUACAGUUUGUUACGGCUCUUACUGGCUUCGGCCAAAAGGGUUGUAACGUACGUUUUGAAAAACGGGCCAGGGAAUUUCUCUAUGUGGCGAGACUAAUCUUCGAUGAAGAGUAAUCAAAGCGAAAGCAAGUCUGAAAGGGCGUUAGUCACAUGGAUUUGACCUGAAGCCAAGUGAUCUAUUCAUGGGCAAGGUGAAGUCUUCCGAAAGGAGGAUGGAGGCCUGAACCGUUGUUGUGGACAUGCACUCGAAUGACCUGUGAAUAGGGGUGAAAAGCUUAUCUAACUUGGCGAUGGCUGGUUCCUAUUGAAAUAUGCCUACGUAUAGUCUUGUUUAGCUUGUUAGCGGUGUAAAGGACGGAUUGGUCUUGCAGGGGCAAAUGCUUACGGAGAUCUUUUCAACUCAGAAUCUGUUAACUGCCUAAAACAAGAAACAGGGAUGGUAUGUAAGAUACUAUUCCGAGACCCGAACAAGGGAGACUAAAGUUAAGGUCCCAAAAUUAAUGCUAAGUGUAACAAAAAGUGUCUUGAACCUGAGACACCAGGGAUGUAAGCUUAGAAGCAGCUAUCAUUUAAAGAAAGCGUAACAGCUCACCUAUCGAGGUUCAAGGCCUUGAAAAUGGACGGGGCUAAGCAUUAUACCGAUACUUUAGAGGCACUCAGAAGAGUGUUCUGGUAAAUAGGCGUACUUUCUGCGCAGAAGGUUUUAUGAGAAUAAGGCUGGAGCGGGAAGUAAUGAGAAUCCUGGUAAUAGUAGGAUGUGAUUUUCCUGAGAAUGGAAAAUGUCGAAAGGGUAAGGUUUCCUUGGCAAUAUAUGUUAGCCAAGGGUUAGUCAGUACCUAAGUUGUACCCUAACCGAGUACGACGAUGGACAUAAGGUUAAUAUUCCUUAACUAAUUAAAUCUUAUAUAGUAUGGUUUUGCUUUUGGACAGGCAAGCACUCGAGAGGGUGUUUUUGUAAAGAAAUCUGUCGAGGGUAAUCCUUAGACGCAGAAGAAUUUAUGAAACAAAAUUGCUGAUUCCGAGAGCCAGUGAAAAGUCUAUGCUCUUGAUUUAAUUAACUGUACCCAUAACCGGCACUGGUGCCCUAGCUUAGUAGGCUAAGACAUGAAAGGAUAAACCAAUUAAGGGAAUUCGGCAAAUUAGCCCUGUAACUUCGGUUGAAGGGGUGUCUAUUUUUGUGUGCUUCAGAAAUGUGUAUGCAUUAAUAGAUCUCAGUAACAAGGACGGCACGACUGUUUACCAAAAACGUAGCCAAGUGCAAAUCCGAAAGGACGUGUAUACUUGGUGAGGCCUGCCCAGUGGUGGUGUCUAAAACUCCUUUUCAAGGGAGCUAAGGUCCAUUAAACGGCGGGGGUAACUAUGACCCUCUUAAGGUAGCGUAAUGCCUUGUCGUCUGAAUGGCGACGUGCAUGAAUGGUUUAACGAUGUUGUCACUGUCCCUAAUUGGAGCCUUCUGAAAAUACCCUCCGGUGCACAGGCCGGAGACACCUAGUGGGAAGCGAAGACCUUGUGGAACUUUACUGCAACUUGUUGUUGUAAUUUUAAUAGAAAUGCAUAGAAUAGGUAGGAGCGUCGAGACUUGUAUUUCGGUGCAAGUGGAGCAAAUAUGUAAUACUACCCAUUUUUUUUAGGAUUGCUUACUCUUUAGAGGACAGCAGCAGGCGGGCAGUUUGACUGGGGCGGUGCCCUGUCGAAAAAAUAUCGAUAGGACUCAAAGAUAAACUCAUCCAGCUUGGAAAUCUGGAGUUGAGUGCGAGGGCAAAAGUUUAUCUGACUGUAUUUUGAACAAUAAGAAAUACAGGGACGAAAGUCGGACCUAGUGAACCCACGUGCUUUUUUAAUAGAAGCCGUGUCUGAUAGAAAAGUUACCCCAAGGAAAAUUGGCUGGUCGCCCCCGAUAGUCCGAAUUGACGGGGCGGGUUGGUGCUUCGCUGUCGGCUCUUCCUAUCCUGCGUGUGCAGAAGCGCGCAAGGGUGUCGGAGUUCACGCAUUAAAAGGGAUCGUUAGCUGGGUUAAGAACGUCGCGAGACAGUUUGUAUGAUAUCUACUAGGUGUGUUAUUGUCUGAGUGGAACAAACUCAUAGUACGAGAGGAACUGGGUUUGGAUGCCUCUGGUGAGCAGUUGUUAUAUGGCAGGCUGCAUAGCUACGCAUUGUUUGGAUAAGAGCUGAAUGCAUCUAAGCUCGAAGCCAUCCGCAAAACGAGACAAUUAAGGCCGUCACAUAAGAUGACGUUGAUAGAAUUGCUGUGUAAGAUUCAAGUUUCGACGAGAAUUUCAGCAGACAAUUACUAAAAGCCUCUUUUGUAGUAUU
rnacentral:rRNA from 1 species